AGCAAGCUUUGGAGAACAAAAUGCGCAACAAGAAAAUGGCAGCUGCCCGAGCAGCUGCAGCAGCUGGUGGCCAGUAGCGUUCCCAGUUACGCUGGGGGCCCAGAAGGACUCUUCACCUUGCUGUUCAAAACCAGCCACUUCUGAAAAGGGCAAGAACACAAGCAUUGUGAAGUUGCCGUUCCCCUCUUCUAACCCUGAUGUAUUGUCAAGGUCAUGCUGGUCAAUCAAGGCGUCACCAGUCUUAGUUCAGCAAGAAGGAUCUCCACCUUGUUCCAGACUCAGGGAUUUGUUCCCCCACCACCAACUUUUCCCCUGACUUAUUUCCCUGGCUUUUCUUCUAACUAAUGGAAUUUAAACGUGGAUGUGAUUCAACAAUAUAGGUUACUGGUUUACCUGUUGGGUUAAUUAAAAAAAACUUUGGGUAUAUGGACUUUCAUCUUAUACCCUUCUUCUGCCUUAGUUUUCUUUGCCUGGGAACAUAAAUACUUCACCUCUUUUUACCCUCAAAGUUAAGAAAUAUCUUUAUCAAGUAGUCACUGUAAUUAUUCAUUAACUCUCGUUUUGAAACCAACAUCUUGUUUUUCCAUUUUUUUUCCAUCUCCCCAUCUAGAGCCCCCACGACUAUACACCCAAGGUUUUUUAUUAGCUGCUGGAUUCAGUAGGAAAAGGAAUGGGCUUUUUAAAAGAAAAAUCCUAAGGGAAGUAGGGGCCUGAUUAGCAUUGGACUGAAAGUCUCUCAUCUUAGACAACCCACUUCUUUAUGAGUUAAAAAAAAAAAAAAAAGGCAUUCUACAUGAUUGCAACUCCAUCACAGCUUAAUCAUGACCUCCAAGGAUCACAUUCCCUGAGUUUAGAUUCUAAUAUUCCAUAAUUUGUCUUUGCUUUCUUGUUAAGGUUAGGAAAACACACACUUUCACAGGGGGCUUUAGUUUAUAGAUGUGUUUAAGCAUUAUCAUCUGUUUAAACUUUGAAUAGCAGCAAUCAAUGCCCUCAGCCAGCCUUGUUGUGUGACUUCAGUUACAUAUGAGAACCCACAAUGUCCUUUUCCAGAGCUGAGCCAAUUUGCCUGCCAUUCUCUGCAGUUGACUUGCUGGUUUUUAUUACCCUGUCCGUGAGUUCUUCCUUCUUUUCACUCUUCUUCUGGCCAUAAAAGGAUGCCCUGUUUCUCUGCCAGUCCGUGUGCCCAUCACUGCCAUGACACAAAUUCAAGAUUUCCUUCCUCUGGUCCACUUUUCCCGAUUAGCCUCCAUUCCCAAACUUAAGAGGUUUCCUUGGACCCUACUGGCUUUAUUUCAGAGUCUAUUAUUUAUAUAGGUUUUCCUGUGCUUUUUUAACAGUACUUUACUGUCUCCUGUAUGCAUGCAUCGUCUUUCCUAUCCAGAUUGUAAGCUCCCUAUGAGCAGGGAUCAUAUCUUUUAACUCUUUUGUAUGCCUAGGAUAGUGCUGUGCACAGGUAGGCACUGAGCAUAUGCUUAUUAAUUAAAUUGAAUCAAUUUAACUUGCAGCAGUCACACUGUGAAACAAAAACUUGUGUUACCUGCAUGAAAAGUGUUAUUAUGAUGGAAGAAAUGGAAUUAUCUGUUGCGAUGCAGGGUUUCUUGCCUCAUUCGAUUAUAAUGCAGAUGAGUAAAUAAAGUUAGUGCUUAUUUCUAGUUGGA